UGGGGAAUAUUGGGCAAUGGACGAGAGUCUGACCCAGCCAUGCCGCGUGCAGGAAGACGGCGUCUGCGUUGUAAACUGCUUUUAUCUGGGAAGCGGUACCAGAUGAAUAAGCACCGGCUAACUCCGUGCCAGCAGCCGCGGUAAUACGGAGGGUGCAAGCGUUGUCCGGAUUUAUUGGGUUUAAAGGGUGCGUAGGCGGCUAUUUAAGUCAGCGGUGAAAGACAUCGGCUCAACCGAUGCAGUGCCAUUGAUACUGGAUAGCUUGAGUGUUGGAGGGGUACAUGGAAUUGAUGGUGUAGCGGUGAAAUGCAUAGAUACCAUCAGGAACACCGAUAGCGAAGGCAUUGUACUGGCCAACAACUGACGCUGAGGCACGAAAGCGUGGGGAGCGAACAGGAUUAGAUACCCUUGUAGU
rnacentral:rRNA from 1 species